CCGCCGGUUACCUGGACUGAGCCCGGCGCGGUGGAGCUGAAGAAGCUGCGGCUGCGGAGAAGCUGUGGAGCUGGGCCCGCGAGCCGGGAGCAUGAGGACCUGGUGUCUGUGUCAGAUUUGUACCUGCGGCUGAAUAUUUGGAAAACUAUCCUACGUAUGGCAGUGUUCUUCCACCUCAGAGUCUGAAGCCCAAGGAAGAAUUUCCAGCAUAUCGUUGUAAAAUGGAAGGAAUAACAACAUUUAAAUUUCAAGGCAUCUGCAUAGUGAACCCUGAGUCAGGUUUUGGUUGGUAGUGUCAAGAUGGCUACACUGCUCUUCGCUGUAUUCAAGUUAGAAAGAGGCAUUGUGGUGUGACAAGUAAAGGCUCUGUGGGUUGGGAAUCAAAGCACCUGAGUUCAAGUUCCAAUGAAACCAGUUUCUACUUGUGCCAUCCUAGGCAAGUGACUCUUGUCUUUGAGCCUCAGUGUCUUCAUUUGUCAAAGAAUAUCUGCUCUUCCUACCUCUCAAAAGUUUUGCUUUGAGCAUCAGGUCAUGUGAUACAACAUAACGCACAAAGUAAAAGUGCUAACCAAAGGUUAGGGAUUGUUACUAAGUCGCUCAAUCUCUUUCUGUACCUGUUUCUCUGUUUUCAAAUUAGGAGAAUUACCUACUCAACACUCACUUUCUGUCCUGUAGCAAGGAUUGUAAAAUAACGUAAUCUGCUUCGAGCUUACAAGUAGUGUGAUUUGAGAUGAGACUUGCCCUCUAAAGCUUCACAAGCACCCUAGAAGUUCUUGCAGAGAAUGGAGAGCUUGGAUGGGGCGAAUAAUGUGGUUCGAAUGACAGUACUUCCAAAAAGGAAAAAGCAUUUGCGAGAGUAGUUUAAGGAAUGACUGACAGCUCUGAAGAAAAUUUUCACGGUAACCUCAGGUAAUUAUGCACCUAAUUGCUGCUCCCAGAAUCAAGGUGCAGAAGAAGAAUCAGGCUUGGUAUGGGCACAAUUAUGUCCUCCUCCUCCUCCAGUGUGAAGACAAAUGCCAAGAAGGGAAGGAGGGAAGGAAUGGUGCCAUUAAGUGAAGUAGAAAGAACAGACUGCAAUUAUAAAUGCUGAGACUUUCCUAAUGAAUUAAAAUCUGAGUGGGUGUUUUUUCUUUGAUCAAUGAUGCAUUAUGGGAUAAUAUGAUUUAUUUUAUCUUUUCAGUCUUUAGUAGCUUUAGAACUGUUUCAAAAUAUAUACUUAACUGAGAACAAGUCCGUCAACAUUUGGUUAAAAUACUUUUCAUUAUGUGGAAGUAGUUUGUUUUUAUUUACUUUCAUAUUAGAGAAAAUUAUGUUGAAUUGAUAUAUUAGUCAUAGUAAUAGAGCAUCAUUAAAUGAAUUUUCAUGAAAUCAUUUCUGCAACAAAUCUUCUCUGGAAAAGAGAUCUUGUUAAUAAAGUAUUUUCCAGGAUAAGCUCUACAUAAUUCACACACACACACACACACACACACACACACACACACACACACACACAGUCACACAUUUUAACAGCACUGGAAACUAGUAAUAUUUUAACUAUUUAACUAUCUGCCAGAUUUAGAAUGAAUUUCCACUAAGCCAAACUUGGAUAAAUCGGAUGAAGGAAGCAGGGCAUUUGGAGACAAAAUUUCCACCCCCACCCCAUCCCAUCUCCAUCCUGUCUCCCUGCAUGUCCUUGUUGUGGAGAAUGAGACCACAGAAUGAGACAGAAAGGCUUUGUAGUUUAUAAACCCUGCAGGGACAACAACGCUAAGAGUGCACCCUAAUGUACACCAUGGACUUUGGGUGAUUAUGCUGUGUCAGUGUCAAGUCGCCCAUUGUGACACAGGUACCCUCUGGUGCGGGCAAUCAAUAGUGGCAGGCUGUGCAUCUGUGGGGGCAGGAGGUACAGGGUUACUCUCUGUACUCUCCAUUCAAUUUUGUUCUGAAUCUAAAACUGCUCUAAAAAUCAAAGAAUAUUAAAAACAAAGACUGCAUGGCAGGAAGAAAGGAGGGGAGUGUUUAGCAGUCAGAGGUUGGGAAGCCCAACCCCUGAAUACAUCAGAUUUACAGACUUCCUUUCUAAGGCCCUCUCUGAGAAUCGCUGUGUGAGAGGAGUCUGGUAAUAUGAAGCGAGGAGGAGACCUCUGAACAUUCAUCAGAGAAGGGGAAGGUGAACCUUGUCAUCAUAAGUUAGCAAACUUCAAAAAGGCUGUUUAAAAAGAGUGCUGCUGAUGUACCUUUCAAAGGGUCACAGUGUCCAAUAAAACAUGAAGAAACGUCCAUUUUGUUAAGACUUUAGCUUUUCUUUUCUCUCCACUCAGUGGUGUUUUACAUGGAUGGGCAGAUUUUCACCCUAUGUCACAGACCCAGGACUUUCACCAAUGUCGCCCCUCCCCAUCCUCCCCUUCAACAGGGCACACAGUUUGAUAGCUGCCAGGGCUAUCUCUCCAUCAUCUCCAAUGUCCCCAUCUAUACUACUUUAUUUGUAGCAAUUAUGGAACUAUAAUGACAAAUGACACAGAUUUGGAGCACGUGGAACACUCGUAUGUCGUUAGUGGGAACAGCCACUUUGGAAAACAGUUUGCUAGUUUCUUAUAAACAUGUACAUAACCAUAUGAGCCAGCAAAUCCACUCCUCGGUAUUUAUCAAAUAAGAAUGAAAACUUAGUUUUACACAAAAGCCUGUACGUGAAUGUUUAUAGAAUUGUAUUCAUAAUCACCCCACGCUGGAAACAACCCCGAGGUCUUUUAACUGGAAAAAUGAUACACAUCUAUAGUAUACCCAUACGAAGCCAAUUCAAGGAACAAACUAUUGAUUCACCCAAUAUCACGCAUGAAUCUUAAAUGUCUUUUUGGUCAGUGAAAGAAGCCUCAAAGGCCACAUAAUGUAUGAUCCCACUUGCAUGAAACUCUGGAAAAGGUAAAAUUAUACGGACAGAAAAUAAAUAAUUGCCAGGGGGUGGGGGGUGGAGAAAUUAUUGGCUACCAAGAAUCAAGAUAAGGGAAUUUGGGAGGUGAUGGAACCGUUAUGUAAGAAACUGUGCUGGUCGACAAACAACUCUCUGAAUUUGUCAAAACUCUUGGAACUGUAAAGCACAGAGGCAAUUUGACUGCAUGUAAAAUUAUAAAAACGAUCACCCAGGAGGUGGGGAGAAAGCAAGGAGGAAUGCAGACUGUGACAAAUGAGGAUGACUGUACAACAAAUGAAUCACAUAACCACACUGCAGGGGGUGGGAAGGAAGGGGAUGACCUAAGUCACUCUGGAAGAGGGUUCUCACUGGACACCAUAAGGCAGUAGACAAAAAGAAUACUAUACAAAUACUGUACUCUACUUGGUAAUUUCUUUUUUUCC